GAUGAACGCUGGCGGCGUGCUUAACACAUGCAAGUCGAACGGUGACAGCAAUGUCACAGUGGCGCACGGGUGAGGAACACGUAGCUAACCUGCCCUCAAGUAUGGGAUAACUUCCCGAAAGGGAUGCUAAUACCGUAUAAGCUCACGGGGAGUAAGUACCAGUGAGAAAAGGUUUACUGCUUGAGGAGGGGGCUGCGGCCCAUCAGGUAGUUGGUGAGGUAACGGCUCACCAAGCCGACGACGGGUAGGGGGUCUGAGAGGAUGGCCCCCCCACACUGGGACUGAGACACGGCCCAGACUCCUACGGGAGGCAGCAGUGAGGGAUCUUGCGCAAUGGGGGAAACCCUGACGCAGCGACGCCGCGUGGGUGAUGAAGGCCUUCGGGUCGUAAAACCCUUUUGCCACUGACGAGGAAGGACGGUAGGUGGCGAAUAAGCCUCGGCUAACUACGUGCCAGCAGCCGCGGU
rnacentral:rRNA from 1 species